AUGUCCACUGCUGACAGUUCUCUGUUUAUUGUAUUCUCAUAGACCCAGGGUGAUAGAGGAGCUGCCAGCUUGAAUGUUGCCCGUCACUGUAUCAGAGUGAAAAAAAUUUUUGGAGAGUUUCACUUUAGUAAUUAAAUGCUGCAGCCUGGAAGCGACACAUCCCAUUUCUGCUACAACCUGUUGGCUCCAUGCAAGUAUAAGGGAACCAAAGCCAUAGAAUCUUAUCAUAUACUCAUAAGUGGAGAGAAACAGAAAGAGAGAAGCUACAAACAGAGAAACUAUAAGGACCAACAUGUGGAAAAGCCUCAUGGCAUCCUGCUGGGCCUCUAG
rnacentral:lncRNA from 1 species